UACGUAGGGCGCAAGCGUUGUCCGGAAUUAUUGGGCGUAAAGGGCUCGUAGGCGGUUCGUCACGUCGGGAGUGAAAACUCGGGGCUUAACUGCGGGCUUGCGGUUGAUACGGGCGGGCUAGAGUUCGGUAGGGGAGACUGGAAUUCCUGGUGUAGCGGUGAAAUGCGCAGAUAUCAGGAAGAACACCAAUGGCGAAGGCAGCUCUCUGGGACGGUACUGACGCUGAGACGCGAAAGCGUGGGGAGCGAACAGG
rnacentral:rRNA from 1 species